UGAAACCUUAUUAAACCCUAACCCUAUUCCCUCUAUCACAUCUAUCACUAACCCUCUCUCUUCUAAUGUCACAUACUCACAUCUCAAACUUUGAACCCACCUACAAAGCUUUUCACGAACUCCAAUGUCUCAAUUCCGCUUUCUUCGAUUGCUAUUGUAGAUUCACAUGUCCCUUUUACUUUUGUCCCCAAGUCUUUCUUUCCAUACGGUAUGUCGUCCUCGCUCCUCUCCCCUAAGUCCUAUUUCUCCUUUAUCCUCCCCAUCCUGCGUUCUGUUUUUGAUCGCCUCUUCUCAUGUCAUGAUGUCCCAUACCUCAACCUUCUUCAUCUCGUCUGCAACCCAAUUUUUCCUUCUUCUCCUCCUCACUUAUCUCCUUUGAUCAUCUCAUCCUAGCCACAGUUCACCGGAUCUCGCUUCAAUUCCUUUGGAUCUAGUAGCUCUUUCACCACAACACUAUUCGUGGAUGCUAAACCAAUCCCAUUGCUCAAUUCUUUAAAUCAGGUGAGGGCUUUGGCAGGGGCAAAGGAAAGGAAGGGACGGCUGAAGAGUGAAGAAUAUUAUUGUAUAGCUCUUUCCUUUCCUUGUUUUAGGGUUGUAAUAAAUAUUGCUAUAAUAUAAUACCAACUUAGGAACAUGACAUUGUUUUGUUAUCAUUUGUAUAAGAAUAUGUGAAGUGUGUGCAUCUUGGCCUAAAAUUGAUGUGGUUGUGAUUAAAUAA